CUUGUGGACUUGGCUUUAUCCCUGCUAUUUUUACGAACCUAUCUUAGUGUCUGAUAUAUUGCAUAAUAUCUGAACGCAUGUGUUUUAUAUUCAUUGAAACAAUUACAAUCACUAGUUGAUCAUCAGACCGUGAGAUAGUGCCUGGGUAUUAUGGUUUUUCUAGUAAUAAUUAAGGCAUGUGGAAACUUAAAGGUUUAAUACCUUUGGGGUUGCAUACUCUGAAAAGCUAUGCAGCUAUCGUUUUAAUUUUCAAUCAUGGUUUCCUAGUAGAAAAUAUUUUACGUUCCAUUUCGAACAAAAAACGCAUAGUUUUAGAAAACCACAUGGAAAUGAAUUGAAUUUAAUGGAUUUGAUUUUCAAGUUCAAAUUUGAUAGCAAGCUCUCGGUGGUGUGAUUUAUCUAUGUAACAAUCGUGCGUUUGCCAUAAAAAUAUGAGUUAAACAAAUUUGAGUAAUGUAAAACUCAACAUCGAAUAGAAUGGAAUAAUUGAGUUUCGUAACAAAAACAUAUUCAUUGUAUAAAAAAAUUUGAAUAAUUACUGUAAGUUUUGCAAAAUUAAAGGAAAUGUUCAACA